AUGGGUGCAAUGUUUAUUUUCUCAUCGACUGUGUUUUGGUGAAGGGAACCACCACAUCCACCAUACUGACUACUGGAGAUAAUUGGAAAAUCUUCUUUCUUCUGAAGCGAGAUUACAUUGCAUGGUUGCAAUGUUUAUUAUACCAUAGAAUGGGAUUUUGGUGUAAGGGAACCACCACAUCCAGCAUACUGAACAUGGGAGAUACUGGGAAAGUCUUCUUUUUUGCAGGGAGCUUCCAUUGUACAGGUGCAAUGUUUAUUUUCCGCUCUGCUGUGAAUCUGGUAGAAGGGAACCACCACAACCAGCAUAAUGAGUGUGGGAGACACUAGCUAGCCUUCUUUCUUUUGGGCAGGCAGCUGCAUCUGACUCAGCCAGAGACAGUGCCUGAAACCGGUUUGUCAGACGCAUCGGGGAGGCCUUCUGAUCAGCCUCCGGGGACGUCUUUCGCUGCCUGCCACACCUUGGAACGACCUCCCAAUCAACCACAACUAAUAGUAUAACAAUAGGUACAGUAACAGUAAAUCAACCAAUAAAGGGGAAGAGGAAAAGGAAUCCAAUGACGAAGGCAAAUAACAUAUUUUAAAGUACGGAAGCAAUUAAGAAACAACAAAAUUAGGCCUACAGUUAACGGCAAGACCAUGCGAAAAACAAGGUGUUCAACAGCAUACUAUUGUAGCAGUAUGUGGAUGUUUGCCUGGAAACUAGUAAUGAGGCUUAUGGGAAGUUAUGCACUGCCCAUAUAUAACCAUGUAUUAUUGGGAGGUUGUGAAAAGUGAAAGUAGAAGACUGUGGAAGUAGAAGACUGUGCAUCUGUCGGCUACAUCAUUUACAGUAGACAGUACUGCACAUCCACCCCCUAUGUUUUCAGCAAGUAUGUCGACACUGAGGACAACAAAGUAGGCAAACCACAACAAAAUGUCAGUUUACUUGCAGCACAGUUUAAACUAUGUUGAAAAAUGAUUUGACUUUGAAGAAAGUGUCCACAGGACUUUCAAACCAUUUUCACUGACAGUGAAACAGAGCUCAUUUUCAGAAUUUGUAGAAGUGAUUUCUUGAUAUGAAUUUCUUGUAGAUAGGGAUUUGAUGUUUGAAGAAUGUGUGUAGUUAAAGUACUUUCUCAAGCAAGAAGAGAAGAACUUUUUAAGAUGAAAUCUGAUUUGUGGAAGGAAUUUUUUUCAUUGUUAUGAAAACUGUGACAACUUCUUCAAACUUUUCCGUUUUGCUUCAGAUGAGUUUUCAGCCUGAUGAUGAACACUUGGUGAGCUGAGAUGCAUCUUUUCCCAGCAGCAACAUCAGAAGCUGAAAUAAUAAUGAAGAUGGUUUAGUGAUUUAC